rnacentral:rRNA from 1 species
CCUACGGGUGGCUGCAGUGGGGAAUAUUGGACAAUGGGGGGAACCCUGAUCCAGCCAUGCCGCGUGUGUGAAGAAGGCCCUCGGGUUGUAAAGCACUUUCAGUGAGGAAGAACGCCUGGUGGUUAAUACCCAUCAGGAAAGACAUCACUCACAGAAGAAGCACCGGCUAACUCCGUGCCAGCAGCCGCGGUAAUACGGAGGGUGCGAGCGUUAAUCGGAAUUACUGGGCGUAAAGCGCGCGUAGGUGGCUUGAUAAGCCGGUUGUGAAAGCCCCGGGCUCAACCUGGGAACGGCAUCCGGAACUGUCAAGCUAGAGUGCAGGAGAGGAAGGUAGAAUUCCCGGUGUAGCGGUGAAAUGCGUAGAGAUCGGGAGGAAUACCAGUGGCGAAGGCGGCCUUCUGGACUGACACUGACACUGAGGUGCGAAAGCGUGGGUAGCAAACAGGAUUAGAUUCCCCAGUAGUC